rnacentral:rRNA from 1 species
CAGUAGCCGCGGUAAUACGGAGGGGGCAAGCGUUAUCCGGAAUUAUUGGGCGUAAAGGGUACGUAGGUGGCCUUUUAAGCGUAGGGUAUAAGGCAAUGGCUCAACCAUUGUUCGCCCUAUGAACUGGAAGGCUUGAGUGCAGGAGAGGAAAGCGGAAUUCCUAGUGUAGCGGUGGAAUGCAUAGAUAUUAGGAGGAACAUCAGCGGCGAAGGCGGCUUUCUGGACUGCAACUGACACUGAGGUACGAAAGCGUGGGGAGCAAACAGGAUUAGAUACCCCCGUAGUCCCUGUCUCUUAUACA